UGUUGAAUUUGCAGUAAUUUACUGUUUAUACAUUACAGUAGUGGUGCUGUACUUAUAAUAUACAGUAAGAAUUAUAUUUGAUUUCUAACCGUCAUCAUACACUGUUAGCCUUUGCUGUAUUUUUUACAGUUAAAUACCACAAAAUGCCCAGUAAAACUACCAUAAAUAGAGUGACCAUAUUUUCAGUUGGGAAAACCCGGACACGUUGUAGCGGGGGGGGGGGGUCUGAAAAAAGCGGGGAAACUCUUUUGUAAAUAGUAGGUAAACAUACAUUUGCGCUUUCGUAUGUUGUUGGCUACUGACAGCCACGCUAUCUAUCUUCUGAUUAAGAACAGGGCUGCCCGCACUGACGCGGCUCAGGGAUUACGUCACACGCAGGGCCGUGCGCAGUGCCCUAGUGCCUGUAAAUAUAAUGGUCCAAUGAAGGUAAUUUAAAAAACAGGACAUUUCCUCACUUUCUAAAAAAACCCGGGACGCCCGGGACAGGACGUGAAAUACGGACAUGUCCCGGGAAAUACGGACGUUUGGUCACCCUACCAUAUGACAUCUUUACAAGUAGUUACUGUAGUUUGCAUUGCAUUAUGGGUAUAGUACAUAGUAUUACAGUAACUUACUGUAUGUUUUGAAUUUGCAGUAAUUUACUGUUUACACAUUACAGUAGUGGUACUGUACUUAUAAUAUACAGUAAGAAUUAUAUUUGAUUUCCAACCGUCAUCAUAGCUGCUUCAUCGUGGUUCCCUGUUUCUGUAUUUUUACUCCUUUAGUGGUUAACAUAUUUUUAAGGCAGAAAGAGAGAAUGUACUUUUGUUUUUUUCCACACCCUAGCUAACAUUAACAUGCAGUUUAUCUAGCUACGUCAUCAAGCGUGGCUUCGCUUCCAACUGUUUUCUCAUGUUUGUUUUAAACUCCGAAGCUUUUUCCCUCCAAGUGCAGCUCUGUCUCCGUGCUGUGGGCUCACACUGCUUCAGCUCUUCAAGACAGAUGACCUUUUUUUUUAACUCCCAAGCUUUUUCCCUCCAAGUGGCUGUGCAGUUCUGUCCUGCUGAGUGCCAACAUAGCUUCAUCUCUUCAAAAGACAAGACAACAGGUAAAAAGACAGCUCUUCAAACAUAUUUGAAGCCACAAAAUAGUCUGGAAAUGUAGAGGAGCAGCUAACCUAAUCUAUAACUUUGAGCUUGCUACAGCUGGUUAGCCUGCAAAAGUACCAUUACAUCUCCAACAUAGUGUAUAAGAGUCUGUAAAUGAGGACAAAGGUGAAAAACAUUAAAGUAGUUUCUGUUAUUUUUUGAGUUUGUUCAGCCACAGUGGCAGGUGGACAAAAACGUUAAUUUCCAACCCUGGUUACACAUAAGGACUGUUCACAUGUUUAAACCAUGCUCCUGUAAAUUUAAAGUUAAGUCAGUACUAACAGGUGCAACUAUGUACAGGUGUAAAUUCUGCAGCAUUUGUACUUCAGAAUUUACAGAAUUUUGUAGUCAUG